GGCUCAAUGGUCUAGUGGUAUGAUUCCUGCUUUGGGUUACAACUUGAAUGCAGGAGGCCCCGGGUUCAAAUCCCGGUUGAGCCC